GGGCCCGCCCCCGCGCAUGCGCACCUGUGCGCGCGGCUCCCCGAGCGCAGCCGGCACCGCGGCGGCGCCGAGCGGACCCGAGCUCACGCUCUCCGACGCCUCUCCAGACCUGCCCUGUCCGGGAGCGCUCGAAGCGGACCCCUGUCCCCGGCACGGCACUGACGCUCAUCCCGCUGAUCCUGUGCCUCCAGCAUCGCUGGGCAGCCUCCUCUCAACAGAAUGACUCAGUGGUAUCAGCUACAGCAACUUGAUUCCAAGUUUUUGGAGCAAGUUCACCAGCUAUAUGAUGACAGCUUUCCUAUGGAGAUUAGGCAGUACCUGGCACAGUGGCUGGAAAACCAGGAUUGGGAACAUGCGGCCAACAAUGUAUCAUUUGCUACACUGUUAUUCCAUGACCUGCUGUCACAGCUUGAUGAUCAAUUUAGUAGAUUCUUGAUAGAAAACAACUUUUUGCUGCAGCACAACAUAAGGAAAAGCAAACGUAAUCUUCAGGAUAACUUCCAAGAAGAUCCAAUACACAUGGCAAUGAUCAUCCACAACUGUCUGAAAGAAGAGAGGAAAAUACUGAACAAUGCCCAGGUGUCCAAUGAGAUGGAAGUAGGCAGUGUACAGAACACAGCGACUGGGAUGCCGGACAAACACAAGGAGCUUGAUGCCAAAGUGAGGGCUGUGAAAAGCAGUGUUACAGAUGUGGAGCAGGACAUCAAGACAUUAGAGGAUAUGCAGGAUGAAUAUGACUUCAAAUGUAAAACCCUGCAGAACAGAGAACACGAGUCUAAUAAUAUGUCUCAGGAGGAAUACAAGAAAGAACAGCUGAAUCUCAAGCACAUGUUUUUAUCACUGGACUGCAAGAGAAAGGAAGUGGUGAAUAAGAUAGUGCAGCUGCUGCAGAGCACAGAGCACACACAGGCUGCCCUUAUUAAUGAUGAGCUGGUGGAGUGGAAGCACAGGCAGCAGACAGCAUGCAUUGGUGGGCCACCCAACGCCUGCCUCGACCAGCUGCAGAACUGGUUCACUAUUGUUGCUGAAAGUCUACAGCAAGUUCGUCAGCAGCUCAAGAAGCUUGAGGAACUGGAACAGAAGUUUACCUACGACCCUGAUCCCAUCACAAAAAAUAAACAGUUUCUGCAGGAACUAACACACAAGCUUUUCCAACAACUCAUCCAAAGCUCCUUUGUGGUAGAGAGGCAGCCUUGCAUGCCAACACACCCUCAGAGGCCACUAGUCUUGAAGACAGGAGUGCAGUUUACUGUGAAGCUGAGAUUGCUGGUGAAACUGCAGGAACUGAACUACAAUUUGAAAGUGAAAGUUUUAUUUGAUAAAGAUGUAACUGAGAAGAACUCAGUCAAAGGGUUCAGGAAAUUUAAUAUUUUGGGAACAAACACAAAAGUAAUGAACAUGGAAGAAUCUACUAAUGGAAGCCUAGCAGCAGAAUUCAGGCACUUGCAACUGAAAGAACAGAAAAACACAGGGAGCAGAACAAAUGAGGGUCCUCUCAUUGUAACAGAAGAGCUUCACUCUCUGAGUUUUGAGACACAGCUGUGCCAGCCUGGUUUGGUAAUAGACCUAGAGACCACAUCCCUUCCCAUUGUUGUGAUCUCAAACGUGAGCCAGCUUCCCAGUGGAUGGGCUUCUAUCUUGUGGUUCAACAUGCUGUCUACUGAUCCCAAGAACCUGUCCUUCUUUCUGAAUCCACCUUGUGCGAAGUGGUCUAAGCUUUCUGACGUUCUGAGCUGGCAGUUUUCUUCUGUAACAAAGAGAGGACUUAAUGCAGAUCAGCUGAGCAUGCUGGGAGAGAAGCUUCUUGGGUCAGCAAAUGGGGGAUCUCAGGAUGGCCUUAUUCCUUGGACAAGAUUCUGCAAGGAAAAUAUAAAUGAUAAAAAUUUUCCCUUUUGGCUGUGGAUUGAGGGAAUCCUGGAGCUUAUUAAGAAACAUCUCCUCUGUCUCUGGAAUGAUGGCUGCAUUGUGGGCUUCAUCAGCAAAGAGAAAGAGCGUGCUCUGCUGAAGGACCAGAGCCCAGGAACAUUUUUAUUGAGAUUCAGUGAAAGCAGCAGGGAGGGAGCAAUCACCUUUACCUGGGUAGAGGAAUCUCAGAACGAGCUGCAGUUCCACUCAGUAGAACCCUACACCAAAAAGGAGCUCUCUGCCGUGACUUUCCCCGACAUCAUCCGCAAUUACAAAGUGAUGGCAGCCGAAAACAUUCCUGAGAACCCACUGCGAUUCCUGUACCCAAAUAUACCCAAAGACAAUGCCUUUGGCAAGUACUACUCCAGGCCUAAGGAGGCACCAGAGCCAAUGGAUUUGGAUGGUCCCAAGGGAAAUGGCUACAUCAAGACUGAGUUAAUCUCUGUAUCUGAAGUCCACCCUUCCAGGCUGCAGUCUCCAGAAAACCUGCUCCCCAUGUCUCCCGAGGAGUUUGAUGAGGUGUCUCGGAUGGUGGGCCCCGCAGAGAUCGACACUGUGGUGUCUCUCCUCACGGGGACCAGGGAACUGGAGCAUCUUUCCUCCAAACCAGCACUAGAAACACUCACCUGUCUUUGGGGAAAGGAUUCACUUUGCAUGCUUCCAGUAGAAAUUUAACAACAUCCACGUGUCCUACAGGAGAAGCAGCUUUCUGCCCAACAACACCAAGUAUUGAAUUGCACACACAGCAUCACUCUGCACAAUUCAUAAAACCAUGAAAUCCUCAGAAGGCAAACUCACUCUGGAAAAGUAAGAUGUUUAUUAUUUUUUUAAUUAACUGCAAAGAUUCCUAGUGCCAGGAGAAAUCUAUGUCAGCAGAAGAGAAGAAACUAUACCCUUUUUCCUGUGUACUACAGAUUAUCUUUGUAGACAUCCAACAUACAGACUUUCCUCAAAUAAACCAUUCUGAGCAGUUCUGUUGUGUAAUAAGCAAGUUUUCCAAGCAGAUAAAGUGGAUCUUUUUAGAUAAAUAUUAAAUAUUGCAUUAAAUAUUAUAGCAUAUUUAGAUAAAUAUUAAAGCAUGACACAGGUGAAGUCUCUGGUAAGCAGCACUUUUUCUCAGCUUUUCUAGAAAGAAAUGAUAUUGUCAGGGUACACCAACCUUGUCCCAUGCAUAUUUUUAAUGCAUCCUGGCUAUAACAACUCAAAGCAGGUUUUAACAAGAGCCAAAAAUGACAAGCUAGAUGGUUUUAAGUUUCCACAUCAGCUUCUUUCAUUAACUGACAUAGCCACUUCUAGGCACCAUUCCACAGUAAUUUCCAGUAAACUUUCUAACUGCUGCUUUGCUUUCUGAGUCUACAAAACUCUGUUGCUGCCACCAGCCAAGCACCAGAGAUAAAAGAGGGAGCUGAUGCUGCACUGACCUUCUACAUCAAGAAGGAGAAACAAACAAAUUGAAAAAUCCCCACCCACAAGCAAGUCUCCCACAGACUUCUGCAGGAACACUGGCGUAUUUUCACAGGGCCACAGACGAGCCAACAUCUGCGCCUCCCCUAAACCCAAGCCGUGGAACUGCUUGUUGUUUUUCACACCUCAAAUAUGCACUGACGCAAAGAGAGACCGAAGGAUAAGGAGAAGGAGGCACAAAGGCCAGGAUGGAAACACAAAUGGGAUGCAGAGCCACCCUCACUCCAGCACCCACAAACUCCUGCAGCUCCUUCCCAGUUUGCAUUAUGAGGGCUGUAAGAUUAAGAUCUGUGGGACUCCCUCCCUUUUCAGGGGGCUCUGCCCUGCUGGGCUGUCCCUAACCCUGUCUGGCUCCAAAGGCUGGGCCCCUGGUCAGGCUCUCUGAGCUCUGACCUCACAUCACCCUGAACAGUGGCAAACCUGACAUUACAGCCAGACCCUCCUCACCACUGCUAGAGAGGACUGGCACUGAUUCCACUCCUCCCACAAAGGUAUUUCUGUUCAGAGCUCCUGCCACAAGCCAAAACAGUGACCAAGACUCCUAAGCAGGUCAGUGGGGCCCAGCUGGGCUCAGCACCAGGGCUGCAGGAGAGGGGGAAGAGCUGCUGGAGCAGCCUGCAGGGUCACUGCAGUGGCAGGGACACACGGACUCAGCAAGGCCGGCAGUGGCAGCAACCCCGCACCCACAUUCCCUGGGCUUUCCAUAGGGAACACCGCAAUGCCAAACCCUUUAACAGACAGCAUCUGCCACAGGCACAGGGCUGCAGACUGAAUGCAGGUGUGGAAGGGGAAUUUAGCUUGAUAAUCUCUGCAUUUCAUCGAGAUGAUUCAGCCUUCUCCUCGGGGAGGGGGAACCUGCUGGGGCCCUGCAGGCAGAACGGGCUGGCGGCACUCCCGUGUUUCUGGUCCUACAGGUGAUGAACGCUCUCCCUCUUCAGGAUCUGGGAUGUGCAAAGGACACUCUGUCUUUCAUAAAAACCAUUUCAGAGAACACCCAAACCUGGAGCAGGAGCUAAGCCCAAGCAGCUGAGCACACCAGCACCGUGCUCUGCCCGUCACCACAGGGUUUGUCCCACUCUGCCAUCGCUGCAAUGCCUCUGGCACGGCAGGGACAGCCUCUGCCCUGCACUUGGGUCAGGAGAGAAAAGCCAAACAGCUGUGCGUGUACGGAAAGAAAAUCCUUCAAAAAAAUUAAUUUACUUCAAAGCUGGAUUAAUUCCAUGAGAAGAUCUUCGCUAAAAAGAUGGUGCAAGGUCCUCCCUCUUCACAGCUGGGGACAGAGGACGACACCCAGCUCCUUCAGUUUUACGAGCCGUGGGUGCAGCGUUUAUUUUUGGACUCAAAGCUGCCACAAGUGACUUUCAAAGCUGCUACCACCGAGUUUAUUUCUGGAGUCUCCCUGGUGGAAUUAACUUGAAAUGCCCUUUGCACAGCAAUUAUCCAUACAGUUUGUGCUGUUGAUAUCAAACUAACAGACUAACAAAACGCUUAUUUAUUCCUCACUCUGGUUUCCAGCAGCCCUGCUCAAACACAACCCAUGCAUGUACUGAAAUUCUGAAAGCUGCUUCUCCCAUGAGUGAUGUCUAGACUGCAGCCACACAAGAGGCUGUAUUUUCAUGUAUCCAAACACAAAGCAGCUCUAAACCAACUAUGCUGCCAGAGCUGCAAAGCCCUCAGGCAAGCCAGCACACUGGUUAGUUAAUACUUUUAUUUAAAGCUGGGAAAAAAAUCCCAGUAGGCAUUUAAAUAUCUUCUUGCAAUUCAACUGCUCACACUGUUUCAAAUCCAAUGCCAAUCUUUUAGAAUAAAGCCAGUAAUUUUC